UGGACCUCUGGAGUGAGUGAUGACAGAAGAGAGAGAGCACAACCCAGCACCAGCGAGGAGAAGCCUCGCUUCUGCGAGGGCCGUGUGCUCUCUGCUCUCACUGUCAUCGCCGACAGGCCACCCAA
rnacentral:pre_miRNA from 1 species